GGACGUGCCGGAGUGGUUAUCGGGCAUGACUCGAAAUCAUGUGGGCUUUGCCCGCGCAGGUUCGAAUCAUGUUGGUCCA
rnacentral:tRNA from 1 species